UUAUUAUGUAUCUAGCAGCCG
rnacentral:piRNA from 1 species